rnacentral:tmRNA from 1 species
GGGGCUGACUUAAGCUUCGACGUCAGGACUUUAACAGACUAUGCUUGCAAGCCGGAUAACUCCCGCAACAGUUUUAAUAGAUGCAAACGCAUUCACCAAAGCAAAAGAAUUUGUCGCUUCGGCUGUUAACGCAGUCCGCACGCCGCAACUCGCUUUUGCGCCAGCUGCAGUUUAACUAGCAGCCGUCGAUCGCAAGAUGCACGGUAUUGUCGAUCGGUGUCAUAUCUAUCGUGCUCAGUUUCAAGUGCCCCGCUAGCGCUAUGGAAUGAAACUUUCAGCGCGAGCAGUGCAGUUACUUCGUCCAGAUCUUUUGCUGCCCUGUUCGUUAAUCACCCUGAACUGGACUAUGCUUGUAGACGGCUAGUCGGUUACCAGACGGACCGGGGUGUGAUUCCCCGCAGCUCCACCA